rnacentral:rRNA from 1 species
UACGAAGGGUGCAAACGUUGCUCGGGAUCAUUGGGCGUAAAGCGCGCGUAGGCGGUUACUUAUGUCGGAUGGGAAAGCCCUCGGCUUAACUGAGGAAGUGCAUUCGAAACUGGGUAGCUAGAGUACUAAAGAGGGUCGCGGAAUUCCCGGUGUAGAGGUGAAAUUCGUAGAUAUCGGGAGGAACACCGGUGGCGAAGGCGGCGACCUGGGUAGAUACUGACGCUGAGGCGCGAAAGCGUGGGGAGCAAACAGG